rnacentral:rRNA from 1 species
UACGAAGGGGGCUAGCGUUGCUCGGAAUUACUGGGCGUAAAGCGCACGUAGGCGGCUCUUUAAGUCGGAGGUGAAAUCCUGGAGCUCAACUCCAGAACUGCCUUCGAUACUGAAGAGCUCGAGUCCGGGAGAGGUGAGUGGAACUGCGAGUGUAGAGGUGAAAUUCGUAGAUAUUCGCAAGAACACCAGUGGCGAAGGCGGCUCACUGGCCCGGUACUGACGCUGAGGUGCGAAAGCGUGGGGAUCAAACAGGG